rnacentral:rRNA from 1 species
AGUACGGCGGAACACGAGAAAUUCCGUCGGAAUCCGCGGGGACCAUCCCGCAAGGCUAAAUACUCCCUAGUGACCGAUAGUGAACCAGUACCGUGAGGGAAAGGUGAAAAGCACCCCGGAAGGGGAGUGAAAUAGAUCCUGAAACCGUGUGCCUACAACAAGUCAAAGCUCGUUAAUGAGUGAUGGCGUGCCUUUUGUAGAAUGAACCGGCGAGUUACGAUUGCAUGCGAGGUUAAGUCGAAGAGACGGAGCCGCAGCGAAAGCGAGUCUGAAUAGGGCGAAUGAGUAUGUAGUCGUAGACCCGAAACCAUGUGAUCUACCCAUGUCCAGGUUGAAGGUGCGGUAAAACGCACUGGAGGACCGAACCCACGUACGUUGAAAAGUGCGGGGAUGAGGUGUGGGUAGCGGAGAAAUUCCAAACGAACUUGGAGAUAGCUGGUUCUCUCCGAAAUAGCUUUAGGGCUAGCCUCGGAAUUGAGAAUGAUGGAGGUAGAGCACUGUUUGGACUAGGGGCCCAUCUCGGGUUACCGAAUUCAGAUAAACUCCGAAUGCCAUUCAUUUAUAUCCGGGAGUCAGACUGCGAGUGAUAAGAUCCGUAGUCGAAAGGGAAACAGCCCAGACCACCAGCUAAGGUCCCAAAAUAUAUGUUAAGUGGAAAAGGAUGUGGGGUUGCACAGACAACUAGGAUGUUGGCUUAGAAGCAGCCACCAUUUAAAGAGUGCGUAAUAGCUCACUAGUCGAGUGACCCUGCGCCGAAAAUGUACCGGGGCUAAACAUAUUACCGAAGCUGUGGACUACACCAUUAGGUGUAGUGGUAGGAGAGCGUUCUAAGGGCGUUGAAGGUCGAUCGUGAGGACGGCUGGAGCGCUUAGAAGUGAGAAU